rnacentral:rRNA from 1 species
AGCAGCAGCCGCGGUAAUACGAAGGGGGCUAGCGUUGCUCGGAAUGACUGAGCGUAAAGGGCGCGUAGGCGGUUUAUACAGUCAGAUGUGAAAUUCCUGGGCUCAACCUGGGGACUGCAUUUGAUACGUAUGGACUUGAGUGGAGAAGAGGGUCGUGGAAUUUCCAGUGUAGAGGUGAAAUUCGUAGAUAUUGGAAAGAACACCGGUGGCGAAGGCGGCGACCUGGUCUUUAACUGACGCUGAGGCGCGAAAGCGUGGGGAGCAAACAGGAUUAGAGACCCGCGUAGUCCCUGUCUCUUAUAC